CUGUAGUUAGUCAGAAUUUGAUUUUGGAUCUAUGCUAGUACAGGAUGGUUUUGAUUUCAAUUUCAAUAAAAAUUUUUAUUUCAUUUAUUUAUGAAAUAAAUUGAUUGCAUGUGAUCUUUUAAUUGACAGUCUUUAUCACUUACAUGUUAAUGUAAAUAUGAAUAUAAAUGAGCAAGUAGUGAGUACCGUAGGUCAAAAGAGAUCCAGAGAUGAAAUUAACCAGAAGUACUUGUGGCAUCAU
rnacentral:lncRNA from 1 species